GUGGGGAAUAUUGGACAAUGGAGGGAACUCUGAUCCAGCAAUUCUGUGUGCAUGAAGAAGGUUUUCGGAUUGUAAAGUGCUUUCAGCAGGGAAGAAGAAGAUGACGGUACCUGCAGAAGAAGCGACGGCUAAAUACGUGCCAGCAGCCGCGGUAAUACGUAUGUCGCGAGCGUUAUCCGGAAUUAUUGGGCAUAAAGGGCAUCUAGGCGGCACGACAAGUCAGGGGUGAAAACUUGCGGCUCAACUGCAAGCUUGCCUUUGAAACUGUAGUGCUAGAGUAUUGGAAAGGUGGGCGGAACUACACGAGUAGAGGUGAAAUUCGUAGAUAUGUGUAGGAAUGCCGAUGAUGAAGAUAGCUCACUGGACGAUAACUGACGCUGAAGUGCGAAAGCUAGGGGAGCGAACAGGAUUAGAAACCCUAGUAGUCC
rnacentral:rRNA from 1 species